rnacentral:rRNA from 1 species
GACGAACGCUGGCGGCGCGCUUAACACAUGCAAGUCGAGCGAGAACCGGGGCUUCGGCCCCGGGGACAGCGGCGAACGGGUGAGUAACACGUGGGUAACCUGCCCUCGGCACCGGGAUAGCCCGGGGAAACCCGGAUUAAUACCGGAUGGCCCCUCCGGCCCUCGGGCCGGCCGGGAAAGGUAGCUUCGGCCUCCGGCCGAGGAUGGGCCCGCGGCGGCUUAGCUUGUUGGCGGGGUAACGGCCCACCAAGGACCCGAUCCGUAGCUGGUCUGAGAGGACGGUCAGCCACACUGGGACUGAGACACGGCCCAGACUCCUACGGGAGGCAGCAGUGGGGAAUCUUGCACAAUGGGCGAAAGCCUGAUGCAGCGACGCCGCGUGCGGGAAGACGGCCUUCGGGUUGUAAACCGCUUUCAGGAGGGACGAAGCCACUCGGGUGAAUAGCCCAGAGGGUGACGGUACCUCCAGAAGAAUCCCCGGCUAACUACGUGCCAGCCGCCGCUGAAAAAC